UAAACAGUCAUUACCAGCUUCUUUAAGAAAGCAGAAAUAAAAGACAGUGAGAUUUUUGCUUUGCUAGAAGAUAUUUACACUUAUUUAAAAUGCCGUCUAAGCGUGGCCGCAGAAGGAGGAGAAAAAGGAAUAUUGUGAAACAACAUGCAGUUGUUAAUCCUGUGGCUAAAUAUCACACCACACGGCAGAAAGCCUUGUUUACUCUUCACUUAAGUGAAAGACGGAUUCAAGCUCUGGAAUUGUUUGGAAGGAAUUUAAGAUGAAAACAAAUGUUUUAUAUGUUAUUGAUCCAUUUAGCUAUGCUCCUUGUAUUCUUUAUGCACAAGCUUUUAAACAAUUGUAAUACAUUUGUUUGUAUAAAUAAAGGCGCAAUUUAUAAACUAAAAAAAA